GUGGCGCACGGGUGAGUAACGCGUGGGUAACCUGCCCUUGAGUUGGGGAUAACCCCGCGAAAGCGGGGCUAAUACCGAAUAAUAUGUCAGUUUCUAUGGGGAUUGAAAUCGAAGGUAGCCUCUGCAUGCAAGCUAUUGCUCAAGGAUGGGCCCGCGUACCAUUAGCUUGUUGGUAGGGUAACGGCCUACCAAGGCAACGAUGGUUAGCUGGUCUGAGAGGAUGGCCAGCCACACUGGAACUGAGACACGGUCCAGACUCCUACGGGAGGCAGCAGUGGGGAAUCUUGCGCAAUGGGGGAAACCCUGACGCAGCAACGCCGCGUGGGUGAUGAAGGCCUUCGGGUCGUAAAGCCCUGUCAGGUGGGAAGAAACAUGUCGAUGCGAAUAACAUCGGCAUUUGACGGUACUACCGGAGGAAGCACCGGCUAACUCCGUGCCAGCAGCCGCGGUAAUACGGAGGGUGCAAGCGUUGUUCGGAAUUAUUGGGCGUAAAGCGCGUGUAGGCGGUUGAGUAAGUCAGAUGUGAAAGCCUUCCGCUCAACGGAAGAAGUGCAUUUGAAACUGCUCGGCUAGAGUACGGGAGAGGAGAGUGGAAUUCCCGGUGUAGAGGUGAAAUUCGUAGAUAUCGGGAGGAACACCAGUGGCGAAGGCGGCUCUCUGGUCCGAUACUGACGCUGAGACGCGAAAGCGUGGGGAGCAAACAGGAUUAGAUACCCUGGUAGUCCACGCCGUAAACGAUGGGCACUAGGUGUAGGAGGUAUUGACCCCUUCUGUGCCGAAGCUAACGCAUUAAGUGCCCCGCCUGGGG
rnacentral:rRNA from 1 species